rnacentral:rRNA from 1 species
CCUACGGGAGGCAGCAGUGGGGGAUAUUGCACAAUGGGGGAAACCCUGAUGCAGCGACGCCGCGUGUGGGAAGACGGUCCUCUGGAUUGUAAACCACUGUCCCCAGGGACGAAGAUGACGGUACCUGGGGAGGAAGCUCCGGCUAACUACGUGCCAGCAGCCGCGGUAAUACGUAGGGAGCGAGCGUUGUCCGGAAUUACGGGGUGUAAGGGGAGCGUAGGCGGGACUGCAAGUUGGGUGUAAAAUCUACCGGCUCAACCGGUAGCCGCACUCAAAACUGCAGUUCUUGAGUGAAGUAGAGGCAGGCGGAAUUCCUAGUGUAGCGGUGAAAUGCGUAGAUAUUAGGAGGAACACCAGUGGCGAAGGCGGCCUGCUGGGCUUUUACUGACGCUGAGGCUCGAAAGUGUGGGGAGCAAACAGGAUUAGAUACCCCUGUAGUC